GACGAACGCUGGCGGCGUGCUUAACACAUGCAAGUCGAACGGAAAGGCCCUGCUUUUGUGGGGUGCUCGAGUGGCGAACGGGUGAGUAACACGUGAGUAACCUGCCCUUGACUUUGGGAUAACUUCAGGAAACUGGGGCUAAUACCGGAUAGGAGCUCCUGCUGCAUGGUGGGGGUUGGAAAGUUUCGGCGGUUGGGGAUGGACUCGCGGCUUAUCAGCUUGUUGGUGGGGUAGUGGCUUACCAAGGCUUUGACGGGUAGCCGGCCUGAGAGGGUGGCCGGCCACAUUGGGACUGAGAUACGGCCCAGACUCCUACGGGAGGCAGCAGUGGGGAAUAUUGCACAAUGGGCGGAAGCCUGAUGCAGCAACGCCGCGUGCGGGAUGACGGCCUUCGGGUUGUAAACCGCUUUCGCCUGUGACGAAGCGUGAGUGACGGUAAUGGGUAAAGAAGCACCGGCUAACUACGUGCCAGCAGCCGCGGUGAUACGUAGGGUGCGAGCGUUGUCCGGAUUUAUUGGGCGUAAAGGGCUCGUAGGUGGUUGAUCGCGUCGGAAGUGUAAUCUUGGGGCUUAACCCUGAGCGUGCUUUCGAUACGGGUUGACUUGAGGAAGGUAGGGGAGAAUGGAAUUCCUGGUGGAGCGGUGGAAUGCGCAGAUAUCAGGAGGAACACCAGUGGCGAAGGCGGUUCUCUGGGCCCUUCCUGACGCUGAGGAGCGAAAGCGUGGGGAGCGAACAGGCUUAGAUACCCUGGUAGUCCACGCUGUAAACGGUGGGUACUAGGUGUGGGGUCCAUUCCACGGGUUCCGUGCCGUAGCUAACGCUUUAAGUACCCCGCCUGGGGAGUACGGCCGCAAGGCUAAAACUCAAAGGAAUUGACGGGGCCCCGCACAAGCGGCGGAGCAUGCGGAUUAAUUCGAUGCAACGCGUAGAACCUUACCUGGGUUUGACAUGGAUCGGGAGUGCUCAGAGAUGGGUGUGCCUCUUUUGGGGUCGGUUCACAGGUGGUGCAUGCCUGUCGUCAGCUCGUGUCGUGAGAUGUUGGGUUAAGUCCCGCAACGAGCGCAACCCUUGUUCACUGUUGCCAGCACGUUAUGGUGGGGACUCAGUGGAGACCGCCGGGGUCAACUCGGAGGAAGGUGGGGAUGACGUCAAGUCCUCAUGCCCCUUAUGUCCAGGGCUUCACGCAUGCUACAAUGGCUGGUACAGAGAGUGGCGAGCCUGUGAGGGUGAGCGAAUCUCGGAAAGCCGGUCUCAGUUCGGAUUGGGGUCUGCAACUCGACCUCAUGAAGUCGGAGUCGCUAGUAAUCGCAGAUCAGCAACGCUGCGGUGAAUACGUUCCCGGG
rnacentral:rRNA from 1 species